rnacentral:rRNA from 1 species
UACGUAGGGACCAAGCGUUGUUCGGAUUUACUGGGCGUAAAGGGCGCGUAGGCGGCAAUUCAAGUCAGCUGUGAAAUCUCCGGGCUUAACUCGGAACGGUCAGCUGAUACUGCUUUGCUAGAGUGCAGAAGGGGCAAUCGGAAUUCCGCGUGUAGCAGUGAAAUGCGUAGAUAUGCGGAGGAACACCGAUGGCGAAGGCAAUCCCCUGGGCCUGCACUGACGCUCAUGCACGAAAGCGUGGGGAGCAAACAGG